rnacentral:piRNA from 1 species
GAGGACAUUAGAGAAGGAACAAG